UCUGGGUUUAUCCCAGCGGUCCCGCCAGAGAUAUUUAACUGGCAGCGAGGGUUGCGCUCGUUGCGGGACUUAACCCAACACCUCACGGCACGAGCUGACGACAGCCAUGCACCACCUGUGCACGACCCUUACGGACCCCGCAUCUCUGCGAGAUUUCCGUGCAUGUCAAGCCUAGGUAAGGUUCUUCGCGUUGCAUCGAAUUAAACCACAUGCUCCACCGCUUGUGCGGGCCCCCGUCAAUUCCUUUGAGUUUCAGUCUUGCGACCGUACUCCCCAGGCGGCGAACUUAACGCGUUAGCUUCGAUACUGCGUGCCAAAUUGCACCCAACAUCCAGUUCGCAUCGUUUAGGGCGUGGACUAC
rnacentral:misc_RNA from 1 species